rnacentral:rRNA from 1 species
GACGAACGCUGGCGGCGUGCUUAACACAUGCAAGUCGAACGGAAAGGCCCUGCUUUUGUGGGGUGCUCGAGCGGCGAACGGGUGAGUAACACGUGAGUAACCUGCCCUUGACUUUGGGAUAACUUCAGGAAACUGGGGCUAAUACCGGAUAGGAGCUCCUGCUGCAUGGUGGGGGUUGGAAAGUUUCGGCGGUUGGGGAUGGACUCGCGGCUUAUCAGCUUGUUGGUGGGGUAGUGGCUUACCAAGGCUUUGACGGGUAGCCGGCCUGGGAGGGUGACCGGCCACAUUGGGCCUGAGAUACGGCCCAGACUCCUACGUGCGGCAGCAGUGGGGAAUAUUGCACAAUGGGCGGAAGCCUGAUGCAGCAACGCCGCGUGCGGGAUGACGUCCUUCGGGUUGUAAACCGCUUUCGCCUGUGACGAAGCGUGAGUGACGGUAAUGGGUAAAGAAGCACCGGCUAACUACGUG